UUUAUGGAGAGUUUGAUCCUGGCUCAGGAUGAACGCUGGCGGCGUGCCUAAUACAUGCAAGUCGAGCGAACGGACGAGAAGCUUGCUUCUCUGAUGUUAGCGGCGGACGGGUGAGUAACACGUGGAUAACCUACCUAUAAGACUGGGAUAACUUCGGGAAACCGGAGCUAAUACCGGAUAAUAUUUUGAACCGCAUGGUUCAAAAGUGAAAGACGGUCUUGCUGUCACUUAUAGAUGGAUCCGCGCUGCAUUAGCUAGUUGGUAAGGUAACGGCUUACCAAGGCAACGAUGCAUAGCCGACCUGAGAGGGUGAUCGGCCACACUGGAACUGAGACACGGUCCAGACUCCUACGGGAGGCAGCAGUAGGGAAUCUUCCGCAAUGGGCGAAAGCCUGACGGAGCAACGCCGCGUGAGUGAUGAAGGUCUUCGGAUCGUAAAACUCUGUUAUUAGGGAAGAACAUAUGUGUAAGUAACUGUGCACAUCUUGACGGUACCUAAUCAGAAAGCCACGGCUAACUACGUGCCAGCAGCCGCGGUAAUACGUAGGUGGCAAGCGUUAUCCGGAAUUAUUGGGCGUAAAGCGCGCGUAGGCGGUUUUUUAAGUCUGAUGUGAAAGCCCACGGCUCAACCGUGGAGGGUCAUUGGAAACUGGAAAACUUGAGUGCAGAAGAGGAAAGUGGAAUUCCAUGUGUAGCGGUGAAAUGCGCAGAGAUAUGGAGGAACACCAGUGGCGAAGGCGACUUUCUGGUCUGUAACUGACGCUGAUGUGCGAAAGCGUGGGGAUCAAACAGGAUUAGAUACCCUGGUAGUCCACGCCGUAAACGAUGAGUGCUAAGUGUUAGGGGGUUUCCGCCCCUUAGUGCUGCAGCUAACGCAUUAAGCACUCCGCCUGGGGAGUACGACCGCAAGGUUGAAACUCAAAGGAAUUGACGGGGACCCGCACAAGCGGUGGAGCAUGUGGUUUAAUUCGAAGCAACGCGAAGAACCUUACCAAAUCUUGACAUCCUUUGACAACUCUAGAGAUAGAGCCUUCCCCUUCGGGGGACAAAGUGACAGGUGGUGCAUGGUUGUCGUCAGCUCGUGUCGUGAGAUGUUGGGUUAAGUCCCGCAACGAGCGCAACCCUUAAGCUUAGUUGCCAUCAUUAAGUUGGGCACUCUAAGUUGACUGCCGGUGACAAACCGGAGGAAGGUGGGGAUGACGUCAAAUCAUCAUGCCCCUUAUGAUUUGGGCUACACACGUGCUACAAUGGACAAUACAAAGGGCAGCGAAACCGCGAGGUCAAGCAAAUCCCAUAAAGUUGUUCUCAGUUCGGAUUGUAGUCUGCAACUCGACUACAUGAAGCUGGAAUCGCUAGUAAUCGUAGAUCAGCAUGCUACGGUGAAUACGUUCCCGGGUCUUGUACACACCGCCCGUCACACCACGAGAGUUUGUAACACCCGAAGCCGGUGGAGUAACCAUUUUGGAGC
rnacentral:rRNA from 1 species